rnacentral:rRNA from 1 species
CCUACGGGUGGCUGCAGUGGGGAAUUUUGGACAAUGGGCGCAAGCCUGAUCCAGCAAUGCCGCGUGCAGGAUGAAGGCCUUCGGGUUGUAAACUGCUUUUGUACGGAACGAAACGGCUCUCUCUAAUACAGGGGGCUAAUGACGGUACCGUAAGAAUAAGCACCGGCUAACUACGUGCCAGCAGCCGCGGUAAUACGUAGGGUGCAAGCGUUAAUCGGAAUUACUGCGCGUAAAGCGUGCGCAGGCGGGUGAAAUCCCCGGGCUCAACCUGGGACCUGCAUUUGUGACUGUAGAGCUAGAGUACGGCAGAGGGGGAUGGAAUUCCGCGUGUAGCAGUGAAAUGCGUAGAUAUGCGGAGGAACACCGAUGGCGAAGGCAAUCCCCUGGGCCUGUACUGACGCUCAUGCACGAAAGCGUGGGGAGCAAACAGGAUUAGAUACCCUAGUAGUC